rnacentral:tRNA from 1 species
GGGAGGAUUGCAGAGUGGCCAAAUGCAACGGUCUGUAAAAUCGUCGGCUCCGCCUUCGAUGGUUCGAAUCCAUCUCCUCCCACCA